AAGACGUCCGUUCUCACUCGUCUGUCUCCAGCUGUCCUGAGCGCUGUCAGAGCUGUGACUGACUGCUGGGAACUCAACUGCUUCAGCUUCAUCAGGUCUAUCGUGUCUGUCAGCAGGAACUCCUGGAAACAUUAACAGAGCUUUCAAGAAGAAUUUAUUACGCAACUCAACACAGAGGAUGUCGUGUGGUUCAUGUUUCUGGGGCAUCGUCUGGCUUCUGGUGCUGCUGGUUCUCGGCUGGCCCUUGAGCAUUAUGCUGGGGGGUCUGUACGGCCUCAUCGCCCCUCUCACCGUCUGCGUCGGUCUGGACCGGCUGGCCGACCUGCUGAUGGAGGGGGCCAAUCUGGGCCGAAAGUGUGCCCUGAACAUGAGGCAUGGCAAAGCACUGUGCUGAGACCACGAGCUCUUCAGCUCACUGCCAAGAAGAGUCCACAGUGUCCACGUCUUUUCAUUUAAGCAGUGUACUGUUUUAAACCCUUAGCAAAAACUUCCUCUCUGUAUCUGUUCCUCUUAGGCCAUUUGAACAUGAGAAAUUAAAAUACUCUUUCAG